UCUUCGACCCUGCUCCCUCCUCGACCUCAUUGGCCCGCCCGGCUUCCAGCCCCGCCCCCUCCUUAGGGACGAGGUCGCCGGGGAGACCAGCGCCCUGGUUUCCAUGACAACAGGUGCCUUGGGCCUGGCUUUUCGCGUUCCUCUGACUAGUCCGUCGUUCAGGUUAAUGGCCGAGCCGCGAAGUUCCUAACCCUGGCCCUGUGGACUCCUGUUGUGGACCGAGUUGGAAAGGCAGCCGACGGCCCCCGCACUUCCGACUUGAAAAACAGCACUUUUUGGCCCUGAGGAGUGAGAGGGAGAGUGAAAAAAAUGCUAACUGCUUGCUCGUCUCCUGUCAGUCUUAAACCCCUCCCCCCUUGCCUUCCCCGGUCUCAGCCGAGUUUCCACGUUCUCACCGGGCUUUGAAAGGGUGAAGAGAAAGGGGAGAGAGAGAGAGAGAGCGCGCGCAGGGCCGGGCCAGCUCCCUGCAGACAGGACAGCAACUUUAAAAAUGGCGCGGUCAGCGAAAACAGCUCGGCGAGUUUGCCCACCGGUGCACUUCAAAGGUGUGGUGGCAGCAAUACCCCAGAUGCCCUCGGGGAAACCCAAAGUUUUGGAAGAAGAAACCUCUUUAACUUGGCGUGUUCAUCAAUUUAAAGACUAAACCAGCUGAAAUACUAUUAGAAUUUGAUACAUGAUGCACUUCAGUUCCCUGCACUGUAACUCAAUUUGGUGAAGAAGGACUCUUAAAAAUGUGGCAGGAGUGGCCUAGCUGACAGACAACACCAACCACCUGAUGUGGAAGGGAGGCCAUCCCAUCUUAGCCCACCCAGCCUAGUUAAGUCUAUAUAUUCCUGUAGCCACAGAGUGAUUCCAUGUGAGACCAGCAAAAGAAUCAUAAGCAAAUAAAAUGAAAAGUAGCAGCAGAGUUAUCCUGUCCACAUCAUGUUUAGCACUUCUUCUGUAGCAGGUGCUCUCUGUGUGCAUUAAUGUGUAAUAUAAAGGUCUUUGUGCCCAUAGCACAAAUCUUUCCACUUGUAUCUUCCCCACAUGUUCUUCUCAGUGAUCCACAACUCUUUCUACUUCUAGGACUCCAAAAAUCAGCAAAACAAUUUGCCUAUGGCAGCAAGAAUGUGUAUAUUCUUACUUUGCUCACUUCCCUCUCCUUUUGUCUUCCUAGACUUAGCAUAGUGAAUACACAAUUAAUAAUUGUUUAAAAAUGAUGGCUUGAAGAAAACAAUGACUGAGUUUUGUUAGAUAGUAGACAAAUGAUGAAGACUUUUGAACCAUGUCAAUGAAUCUAUACUUUAUGCUAUAGAAAAUGAAGUCAUUGAAAAAUUUAAUAAUAGGGAUCCAUUUUAUGUUCUCUUCUUCGCUUUCUUUUUACAGAAUGUUGGAUUUUUAAUCAGUGUAUAGUUCUUGAGUGUUCUUUUACAUGACCAGGAAUACACUUGGGUACAUGGUGGGACACCUUGAUUCCUUAAUUAAAAUGGAUCCCAGUUUUUCUUCACUAGUCUUGGGACUUGAUUUGAAAGAUACACACCCACACACACACUCACACCCCCACACAGCUUUUGCUUUAUUUUAAGCAAAUGAUUUUUAAAAAUGUAUUUGAGAGGCAGAGAAAAGAGAGUGAACAAGCUCCUAUCCACUAAUUAAUUCCCCAGUUACGCACAGUGGACUCUGGCUGGGGCCGAAGCUAUGAACCCAAUUCGAGUCUCCCAUGGGCAAUAGCAGAAUCCCAAUUACUUGAGCUAUCACGUGCUGCUUUCCAGGGUCUGAAUUAGCAGGAAACUUGAGUCAGGAGUGAAGCUGGAUAUUGAAUUCAGGCACUCUGACAAGGGAUAUGGGUGUCCCAAUCAGUGUCUUAACAGUUAGACCAAAUACCUGCUCCAGGAUUCACAGAUUUUAAUGGUAAUAAUCUAUUCAAUUCAAUGCUACUUUUGUGUAGAAAGGAAAACACAUAUGUGAUAUGAGGUUGUGACAAAAAAGUGUACUUGCUGUCUUAAUUUUUAAUCUAACAAUCACUACAUAAUGAGAUAAUAAUAAACAUGAUAGUAGUGAUAAUGGAAUAAUAAUAAACAGAAAAGAUUUCUUUGUGCUUCUCUGCAGUAUGGCUCAAUAAUUUCUGCUUUAAUAAUAUUAAAACUCACCUUCAUUUAUGUAAUGCUUUUUAUGUUCAAAUUGCUUAGCCAAAAUUAAGUAAUUAAUCCUUACACUAAACUCUGCAAGGCAGAUAAGAAUUAUCUUCAUUUUACAGAUUAAGUCAAAUGUAGCAUAUUCCAAAUGAUUAAUGCUUUAAAAUCUCCAAUACCAAAUAGUCUGUGUUCCUCUGGAAGCAUGUGGAAGCCCAAAUUUACAUAGUAAUUAUGUGUUCAAUUGUGCUGAGGAAGCAAGUGGCAGGCCCAGAUAAUCUUCCACAAAAGGAAAAAAGAAAAAGGAAAAAUACUGUUAAUAUUACCAAAACGGAGGAAGGAAAGCAAUUUUUAAAAAAUCCCUAUUGAAUAUUAUUCUUCAUAUACAGUGAUUCUCUCUUCAAAAGUCCUUCUAUGCUAAAGACAAAGACAAAAACAAAUCCCAAAACAACCUUGGUAAAUGCUGUUUAAUGCAUAGAAGAAAUCCCAUGGGACAAUGGAAUUUGCAUCUUGAUGAAUGAGAAAGUAGCCAUAGUCAUCUGGAGAUGAUGAUACACAGCUAUUUCCUCAUCAUUUAGUUCAUAAAUUCUAGUAUUGGGCUGCAUGCCACUGGCUGAGCAUGCCUUCUAUGCAAAGACAGUUUGCGUGAGGAUUUGUGCAAAAGAAAGAAGAUAUAUUGUAGAUAUUGAUAAGAAUGUAAUUCCUUGGUCUUACAUUGUGGAAGGACUCUGAGAAAGAAGCUAUUUCUAUUUUUGAACAAGCUUAGCACUUCUCUCUUUUUCUCAUGUCAUGGGGAAGAGUUGAUUGUCAGUGAAACACCAGGAAAGUCUGUAUCUACCUAUUUAUAUCCAUCUAUUCAUCUAUCCAUCUAUCUAUCUAUGUAUCUAUCAUCUUUUCCUCAGUGUACAUUGUUUUCCUUUGUAUCCUUUCUGAAGGUUGAUGGGAUUUAUUUUAGUGACAACAGCUCCUUCAACACUGCCUAGCAUUGUGCAUUAGUGCCAGAAAUAUCACUGUUUAGACACUUAUGGUCCUCAGUGUCUGAUAAUAUGGUGGUCUGGGAUAAUCCUUAGUCUAAGGUAUGUCUAGAAGUCGUUGAUAAAAUGAAAAGAUAAUGCUUAGAUGAACCACUAGGAAAACAAGGAGAAAUGAUCAGAAGAUAGAAAGACAAGCAACAGUUGCUUUAAUGGCCUGUGAAAGGACCAUAGGAGAUGCAUCCUGGGACUGGCAGAAGGUAGAGGGUGGAACAUGGGUUUGGAUCCUCCACAUCCUUGGUGGGUGAUCAAGAAAAAUCACUGCC